rnacentral:rRNA from 1 species
AUUGAACGCUGGCGGCAGGCCUAACACAUGCAAGUCGGGCGGCAGCGGGGGGAAGCUUGCUUCCCCGCCGGCGAGCGGCGGACGGGUGAGUAAUGUCUGGGAAACUGCCUGAUGGAGGGGGAUAACUACUGGAAACGGUAGCUAAUACCGCAUAACGUCUUCGGACCAAAGUGGGGGACCUUCGGGCCUCAUGCCAUCAGAUGUGCCCAGAUGGGAUUAGCUUGUUGGUGGGGUAACGGCUCACCAAGGCGACGAUCCCUAGCUGGUCUGAGGGGAUGAACAGCCACACGGGAACUGAGACACGGUCCAGACGCCUACGGGAGGCAGCAGUGGGGAAUAUUGCACAAUGGGCGCAAGCCUGAUGCAGCCAUGCCGCGUGUAUGAAGAAGGCCUUCGGGUUGUAAAGUACUUUCAGCGGGGAGGAAGGUGUUGAGGUUAAUAACCACAGCAAUUGACGUUACCCGCAGAAGAAGCACCGGCUAACUCUGUGCCAGCAGCCGCGGUAAGAC